GGGCCCAUAGCUCAGCUAGGUAGAGUGCUGGGCUCCAGAUGAAAAACAUUGGGUCUUCAGACCGAAAGGGAUGAAGUACAUCUGGAAAUUGGAGAGACCCAGUGGUCCGGGGUUCGAGUCCCCGUGGGCCCA
rnacentral:tRNA from 1 species